UACAAUGUAAUUGUAUGUAUUUAAACAUUACGUAGUAAAAAAUAAAGAAUAAGAAGUCAAAUAGCACGAAGCACGCGUCUGUGAUUUCUAAAUAUUUUUAAAAUUUUUACCAUACUAUUUAAUAUUUUUUAUUAAUAUUUUUACUAUACUUGUUUUACAUUAUAUGUACAUAUAUUAGCCUUAAUACAUACAACUGUCAAAAUGCAAUAACAGCCGUUUACACGAAAUAGGGCAAUUUGCUGUAGCCGAUUUUAACAUAAAUGUCAUUACCAAGAUUCUGUCAGAUGCUCUUCCGGGUUUCAUAUUUAUUAUAAAGUUUAACAUGUUUUUCUUCAAAACUAAAAAAGUAAAACAGAUACUGGAAGAAAUUAUUAAUAAUCGGCGGAUGUUGACAGAUGUGCAAGAAAUUAAAAUAGUAGAACAUUAUGUUCAACAAGGAAAAAAUUUUACAGUUCUUCUUUUAGUGCUGCUAAUAUUGAUGUCACUUUUGUUGCCAAUGAUGGCACUGCUACCAGAUAUCCUCGAUAUUGUCCAACCAUUAAACGAAUCACGUACACAUUCUUUAUUAAUUUUGAGCGAAUACAACGUAAAUGAAGGAAUACAGUAUUAUUCUUUUUUCGUGUAUAUUCUUACAAGUAUUUUUGUUGGUGCUUUUUCGAUGUUAGCCAUCGGUACAAUGCUUGUAUUGGUUGCGUUACACUGCUGCGCAAUAUUCAAAAUUUGCAGUUGUCGAAUAAAACAAUCUGUGGACAAGAACGUAAUAGCGUACUCUAACGAGAGAAAUGUUAUCGUCAAAAGGAUAAUUAGAACAGUGGAGCUUCAUCGAAAUGCACAGAAGCUUUUUAAGUUGUUGAUAUCAAGUUUUACGAUAUCUUUUCUUAUUUUGCUAGUAAUAGGCAUGUGUUCCCUUGUCGUAAAUUUAUACAGAUUGCUGUAUGAAUUAAAAUAUAUGGAUAAUUUGAUUGGGAUUUUAAUAACAAUUGGUUAUAUUGGUGGACAUGAAUUGUAUAUCUUUGGAACUAGUUUUUUAGGACAGCUAAUGGUAAAUCAUGCUGACGAGUUUUUUAACUCAAUUGGAUAAAUUAGUCCAUGUGUCCCACAAACGAAGAUGGAGUUCAUUUUUGUGAAUAAUAAAACUGGAAAUAUAUAUCGACAUAAAGAACACCACACAAUCUGGUACAGAUCAAGUACUAAAUGCGUGCACAAAAAAAUACCUUAAGUCAAAAUAAUUGCAAUAAAACAUUAAGCUAUUCAAAUGAAAGUGUCACAGUGUAGUAAUUCAUUUUUAAGACCAGAAUAAAUAUGAAUAAAUUAAAACUCAACGAAAUUUAAAGAAGAUUAACCGAAUUUAAGAAAGGAGUGUAAAAAAUAUACCUGAAGUCAAUGUAUAAGAUUAAGAACACAGCAAGAACUAGUUAGUUAAACUAAUACGGUGUGUGGAAAGAGACGGACAGAAGGAAUAAAACGUAUAAAUACACAGAGGAAAAUACCAGAGGAGAGGAUAAAAAUGGAAAGACCGGAAAGAGAGGAAAAGGAAUAGAUUAGGAAGGGGACAACGAAUUCAUUAUGAUACGCUUUAUGUACUGAUUCGAGCGUUUUAAAUCCGCCAUUUUCAAUUUUAUACAUGUCACUGUGGUACAAAGCAUCUAUAACAGUGCAGAAAUUAUUAUUGUUUAUAAUGCAAAUCUCCUCGAAAAGCCUUGUAC